GUUUUGUGUCCUCCAUCCCAAAUUUUUUGUUUUAGACUUACUAAAUACAAAUGUAUCUAGUUACGUUUUAGUGUUAGAUACAUUCAUAUCUUGAAAAAUCUAAGACAAAAUUUUUGAGACGGAGAGAGCAUUAA
rnacentral:pre_miRNA from 1 species